UCUGAAUGUUCAGCCUCCUUGUCCUCUGCAACAUGACAUUAGCCCACAGUUGCCAUAUGAGACAUCUGUGGUUUUCCUGUGAACAAGCUCCACAUCUGCUUUUCUAUUGAAACAUGUCAUCUUUGUCCCAGUCACUGCCACCAUCUUCUGUGAUGUCAGACUAACAGUAUGUAUGUAGCUGUCUAAAAAAUGACAUUGUUCAUCCCUGAUAUGGCUGGUUGUCUGUUUUUGCUCAUCCUCCUUUUCGGUGAGUUAUUUUUCUGUUCCAUCAUCUGUUUGUGCGACAGGAUAUUCCAUUCUUCUUUCCCCUCUUUUAGUCUUUUACUUUAGGAACUCUUAAUAUUUCAACAUUGAUCACCCUAUUGAUUUUUAAUUUCUCUGUCAUUAUUUUACAUUUUGUACAGAUAAGAAUGACCACUGCUUGAUAACAUGGCUGUGAAUGCAUUACAGACUGUUCUGCUUCGCCAGCUUGUGUAAAGUGAUCCCAUCUCAUGUUUUCUUAUUUUUCAUAAUGGCUAAAAGACCAUGAUAAUGACCCAUUUUGUUUUGUCUAGAUGCCUUCCAGCACCUCAAAGCCAAAGAUCUUCCUCAGCCCAGUCUYACAGUGAUUCCUGCAGUCAUCAAAGAGAAAGACUCAGUUCAGCUGAACUGUCAGACUCCUCCAUCUGUCUCUGAGUGUUACUUCAAAAUGGCUGGGCAAGUGGAAUUCACCCUUCCAUCACCCUGUCAACAGACACUCACAGGAACACUACUGGUGAGGUGGACAGGUCAGAGUUCACCAGCUGAGGUCAAAAUGCAAUGUCAGUACAGUGCUACAGGUUCACAGUUUAGAUCCAUAUACAGUGAGUCUUCAACAGUCACAAUUCGGGACAUUCCCCAGCUGACAGUGAGUUCUACAGUCAUCAGAGAGACAGAAUCAGUUCAGCUGAGUUGUGAGACUCCUCCAUCUCUCCCUGUGUCUCACUGUUACUUCAACAUAGAGGGGGGAGAGAAUCCUCCAGACUCAUCCUGUACUCAGACACUCACAGGAACAGAGCUGCUCAAGAGGGCAGAUCAAACGUUUCCAGAUGUGGUCAAAGUGACGUGUUACUAUGCUGUAAGGAGAUCUCACACAUCUCCUUUUAGUGACCCUGUCUCAGUCACUGUUCAGGAGACACUAUUCUCCUGA
rnacentral:lncRNA from 1 species